AGCCACAUCUGUAAUCCUUGCUGAGUGUCGGUCGGUCGGGAAUCUAGGUCCAUGCACCGGCACAGCUUCGAGCAAUGGUGUUUUGGUGAUGGCAGCGAUGUCUCUUCUGGACCUCCACUGACUCUCCUGCCCUUCUCUCCUGGACCGAUCGGCUUCGAGGACACCGUCGUAAUCAUAAUGGGAGCUACAGAGGAUCUCACCACGUCUUGGCCAUGGCUCCUCCAACCUCAUUGGCUCCAAACUGCUCCUCUUCUCCUGGACCCUGUGUGAAGUCUGUGACCCCUUGCUAUCCUGACCCCUGCUUGACACCCCCACCCGCUGCUUCGUCAUGGUUAGCACCUGGCACCUCACGUUCAAGUUCCGGUACUGUUUUGUACAGCAGCUGUUUUUGUACGAUCCCCGGCGGGUCUCAGCAUCCCGAGCCUUGCACUCCGCGAGGCUCUACACGGGCCUUUUCCGUGGCGAGUGUAUUCCCCAGGUCAUUCGUGCGUCCCACCUCCCGCCCCGUAUGCCCUCUCCUCCUGGCCACCCUGGCACCAAGCCCCUGCUGUGUGCUAGGUGUCGGGCUGGACGCUGAGGACAGGAUAGACUUCCGUGACAGAGGUGACAAACGGUUACGCAAAGUGUUCUUGACAGCCGGGAAGGCAGCUGCAGGAGAUCCGGUGUGGAACUCGGGACACUGACUGGGAAGGCCAGCAAAGGCUCCCCCAGGAAGGGAUUUUAGGAGGAGACCUAAAGGAAAUGCCAUAAUCAGACUUCAAAGGAGAUGGGAGGAGCUUUCUAAGCAGAAGCCAGUUCCAAAGGAAAGGGGCGGGGCUUGCAUAGGGGCGGGGCUUGUAUACGUCCUAGAUAGAACGGCAUGCAGAGAUGAGGGUUGAACGUGUAAGUCCGUGGGAAGCAGGAUGCUCACCCCUGUCUGUAUUGGAUGGUUUCAGUAACGGCCUCCCUGAAUACAUGUUCCUUGGCGAAGAGAUCUCCCUCUACCCCACAAGCAGCAGACUCUACUUCCCUCCCCGGGGAGCCUGGCCAUGCUGACCUCUGAUCAACGUGAAGAUGACAUACGUACCAGAGGCAGAGCUGCUGCUGGGGAGGACACUUUGCCAUUGUGGGAACAAGCAUGCCUCCCCGAGAACAAGAGGCUCCAGUUAUACGAGACCCCAGACAUGGAUGAAGCCAUCCUCCACUACCUGGUCCCCACCCAACCAAACCAGUCCAGACCACAGACAUCUGCCUAAUCCAUAGAAUCAUGAGCUUUAGUAAACUUUGCUGCCAGGGAUUGAA